UAGCAAACAUCCUCACUUUAAGCCUAGAUU
rnacentral:piRNA from 1 species